CAGAUGUAUAAACAGGAUCUACUCUGAAUGGAUGUAAUCUGCCAAGGCCAAUUCACCAGCUGAGGUUUGAAUUAAAAUGUCAGUGACAAUGUCAGCUUAGUGCUCCAAAGGAAGUGCAUGGAACAGCAACGCAGAGCAAACUAUUAGCAACCUGCCCACUGUACGUGGCUUUCCUGUGUCACAGCAAAACUGGAAAAAGACAGCGGAGCAACACGCACUGCAUGUAGAUACAACAACAGGUCUGUGAAGGCACAUUUGUCAUGAUUUCCUCUAGAGAUAUAAUCUAGUUCAGAUGAUGUCAUUAGGAUGGGUCUCAAUCCAACAUGACUGGUGUCCUCAUAGGAAGAGGAAAAGGUACUCAGAAACACACAGGGAGGAUACCAUGUGAUGAUGGAGGCAGAUCUUGGAGUGACAUAUCCACAAGCCAAGGAAUGCAAGGAUUGCUAGUAAACAGCAGAAGCUGAGAGAAAGGAAAAUAUCUUCCCAGGGAGCCUUCAGACACAGAGUGGCCCUGCCAGCCCCUUCCCUUUGCACUUUUAGCCUCUGGGACUGUUGUCUUAAGCUUGUCCAGUUGGUGGUAAAUUGUUACUGCAGCCCAGGGAGACUGACACAGAUGCUGGAGCUGAAGCUUCCUCCAGGUGACCUCUCUCAUGUGACCUAACCCCGAGCCCAGAGCCACAGAGGCUUAAUCUGUUCAACCUUUUGUGCUCUCUCCAGAAAACCUAAGUAUCAAUCAGAGAACAGAGUUCUAAUGUGCAAGGAGCCCCGAGAUCAUCCAGGCACAGGGACCACUAAUUUUACGGAUUAGGAAACACAAGAAGGCUGAUGAGAUUGUUCAUUAAUUUGGAACUAUUAGGAAAACAUACCCAUUUGCUUCUAAGCCAAUAUCACCAGGAUGAGCAUAUUAAAAAUCUACGUGGAGCCAUUUAAGAAGCCUGUUCUCCCCUCUGGCUGCAGAGAGAGGGUCCUCCCUUGGCCCUUCUUUCUUGAUUUGCCAAGGUUUAGGGUUACUCUUACUUCCCUGGUGACUCUUAGAAACUUGGCUCAUCUCUGAGCAGAGAUACAGGCUAAAGAACAUGUCUCCAGGGGUCUUCCCAUGAUGGGGAAUGCUGUUCAUUCUCACACUGCUAUAAAGAAAU
rnacentral:lncRNA from 10 species